rnacentral:rRNA from 1 species
UACGUAGGGGGGCAAGCGUUGUCCGGAUUUAUUGGGCGUAAAGAGCGUGUAGGCGGCCUGACAGGUCUGCUGUGAAAACUCGAGGCUCAACCUCGAGAUGUCGGCGGAAACCGUCUGGCUAGAGUCCGGAAGAGGAGAGUGGAAUUCCUGGUGUAGCGGUGAAAUGCGUAGAUAUCAGGAGGAAUACCGGUGGUGCAGACGGCUCUCUGGACCGCAACUGACGCUGAGACACGAAAGCGUGGGUAGCAAACAGG